rnacentral:rRNA from 1 species
AUUGAACGCUGGCGGCAGGCCUAACACAUGCAAGUCGAGCGAGCGGCGGACGGGUGAGUAAUGUAUGGGGACUGCCCGAUAGAGGGGGAUAAAUACUGGAAACGGUAGCUAAUACCGCAUACUAUCGGAUAACCCAUAUGGGAUUAGCUAGUAGGUGAGGUAAGUGCUCACCUAGGCGACGAUCCCUCGCUGGUCUGAGAGGAUGAUCAGCCACACUGGGACUGAGACACGGCCCAGACUCAUACGGCGGCAGCAGUGGGGAAUAUUGCACAAUGGGCGCAAGCCUGAUGCCACCAUGCCGCGUGUAUGAAGAGGGCCUCCGGGUUGUAAAGUACUUUCAGCGGGGAGGCGUUACCCGCAGAAGAAGCACCGGCUAACUCCGGGCCAGCAGCCGCGGUAUUU